CGUAGGAACUUUCGUUAAGUUCGGGAUAACCCUCCGAAAGGAGGGAUAAUACCGGAUGUGUCCGCAAGGGUAAAGAUUUAUCGCUUAACGUGAGGCCUGCGUCCCAUCAGCUAGUUGGUAGGGUAAAAGCCUACCAAGGCUAUGACGGGUAGGGGGCCCGAGAGGGUGAUCCCCCACACUGGGACUGCGACACGGCCCAGACUCCUACGGGAGGCAGCAGUUAGGAAUUUUGGACAAUGGACGAAAGUCUGAUCCAGCGACGCCGCGUGCAGGAAGAAGGCCUUCGGGUUGUAAACUGCUUUUAUAGGGGAAAAAUUUUUGAUGGUACCCUAAGAAUAAGAGGUUGCUAACUCUGUGCCAGCAGCAGCGGUAAUACAGAGACCUCAAGCGUUAUCCGGAAUCAUUGGGCGUAAAGCGUGCCCGAUAGGUGGUUUUAUUAGUCUUUGGUUAAAUUCUGAAAGCUCAACUUCGGACAUGCCCAAAGAUACUGUGAAACUAGAGGGGCAAAGAGGUGACUGGAACGAACGGUGUAGUAGUGAAAUGCGUUGAUAUCGUUCGGAACACCAAAAGCGAAGGCAAGUCACUGGGUGCCUCCUGACACUGCUAGGACGAAAGCGUGGGGAGCGAAUGGGAUUAGAUACCCCAGUAGUCCACGCUGUAAACGAUGAGUGCUAGGAAUGCGCGAGUAUCGACCCUCGUGCGAUCCGCAGCUAACGCGUUAAGCACUCCGCCUGUGGAGUACGGCCGCAAGGCUAAAACAUAAAGGAAUUGACGGGGACCCGCACAAGCGGUGGAGCAUGUGGUUUAAUUCGACGGUAAGCGAGGAACCUUACCAGGGCUUGACAUUCUUCUGCAAGCGCACGGAAACGUGUGACCUUCGAGGGUGAAGAACAGGUGCUGCAUGGUUGUCGUCAGCUCGUGUCGUGAGAUGUUCCCUUAAGUGGGAGAACGAGCGCAACCCCCGUGAUAUGUUGCUUUUCAUAUCAGACUGCCGGCGUUUAAGCCGGAGGAAGGUGGGGAUGACGUCAAAUCAGCGUGGCUCUUACGCCCUGGGCGACACACGUGCUACAAUGGGUAGGAACAAAGGGACGCAAUAUCGCAAGAUGGAGCAAAUCC
rnacentral:rRNA from 1 species